AUUCAAUACCAAUGAAUAGUUUCUUUUUGUGAGUGAUUCAUGUAAAUCAUGAGAUCCAGAUAAAUCGAAGAUAAAAGUUACUAAGAAUUAAAUCUGGGGCUGUUUUGGGUUGGAUGUUGUGCUGUAAUUGGGGAUUUCUGGGGUCGAUUCAAAUCAGUGGAACCAUCAUCGUCGACAGAACAUAUUGGAAGAUAUUGCGCGUCAUGAAGAAACAUGUUGACGGAAGUAAACAACCGGUCAAGGGCCAAGCCACAACAAUUGUUUCUCAUGCACCGGUGAAUGAGUAGAAGGGAG